rnacentral:lncRNA from 1 species
CCCGACCCUGAUGCUGUGGUUGCCCCCCUGGGGCUCCCUGAGGGACUCCGUCCGUCAGGCUUCUAGCCUGGGAAAGGACGAUCUUGAAGCCUCCAAUAAACUUGAAACUUAUCCAGCUCCUCUCCUCCCCAAACUUCUGAAGGAGCAACUUUUAUUCAAUGUCGACCUGAGCCCUCUCAACCCUAUCGGUAUUUUUUCUUUCUCAAGUC